AGUCAAACACACUUUUGUGUCCAUCGAAAGCUGCAGCCAUGAUUGGUGUCCUUCCAUUAUCGCCUUUGAGGUUGAUAUUAGAAUCUGACACCAGAUGUUCAACCAAAGCCAUGUUUCCUCCCUCACAGGCAAGGUGAAGUACACUAUCACCAAAUGUAUCAAGCAUAGAGAGGUCUGCCCCCUUUGAUUCUAGGAAGUCAAACACACUUUUGUGUCCAU